UGUCUGUCUGUACUGACGCUGAGCUCGAAAGUAUGGGUAGCAAACAGGAUUAGAUACCUGGUAGUCCAUACCGUAAACGAUGAAUGCUAAGUGUUGGAGGUUUCCCCAUCAGUGCUGCAGCUAACGCAUUAAGCAUUCCGCUGGGGAGUACGGCCGCAAGGCUGAAACUCAAAGGAAUUGACGGGGGCCCGCACAAGCGGUGGAGCAUGUGGUUUAAUUCGAAGCUACGCGAAGAACCUUACCAGGUCUUGACAUACUAUGCAAAUCUAAGAGAUUAGACGUUCCCUUCGGGGACAUGGAUACAGGUGGUGCAUGGUUGUCGUCAGCUCGUGUCGUGAGAUGUUGGGUUAAGUCCCGCAACGAGCGCAACCCUUAUUAUCAGUUGCCAGCAUUAAGUUGGGCACUCUGGUGAGACUGCCGGUGACAAACCGGAGGAAGGUGGGGAUGACGUCAAAUCAUCAUGCCCCUUAUGACCUGGGCUACACACGUGCUACAAUGGAUGGUACAACGAGUUGCGAACUCGCGAGAGUAAGCUAAUCUCUUAAAGCCAUUCUCAGUUCGGAUUGUAGGCUGCAACUCGCCUACAUGAAGUUGGAAUCGCUAGUAAUCGCGGAUCAGCAUGCCGCGGUGAAUACGUUCCCGGGCCUUGUACACACCGCCCGUCACACCAUGAGAGUUUGUAACACCCAAAGUCGGUGGGGUAACCUUUAGGAACCAGCCGCCUAAGGUGGGACAGAUGAUUAGGGUGAAGUCGUAACAAGGUAACCA
rnacentral:rRNA from 1 species